rnacentral:lncRNA from 1 species
AGAGUCAAUAAAGCUAAUCUUGUACAUUUAAGUUGUUUUUUGGGUAGCUUUUUUCCUGUCAUUUGUGAAGGGGGUUAUUUGUGUGUUUUGUUGAUGUUAUAGAGCUACCUUUUUAAAGCUCUUUAGAGAUAAAUGCUCGGCUUUUAUUAUUGUAUUUGGGUGUUAAUUGUGAAGAGCAUUGCUUGGUUAUUGUAUGUGACCGUUAUAAAGGAGAAGCAGAAGCACUGUAAAGGCCCCAAAGGGUCUGUUUUGCAGUAGACUGCUAGAUCUCCUUGUUCCAGAUAGUGAGUAUCCUUAAUUCUUGUCUGAUUGUGUGUUCUCAAACAAAACUAGUUAUGUCACUUUUUU